ACUUCCAUCAACCUCAUCUAAAGAUUUUUCAAUCUACAUUUCUUAAUUUUUCUAUUACUUUGAAUUAUCCUUAACUAAUGGCUCUCUUCAUAAUCUUCUCUGCAAUAUUUCGCAUAAUCCUCCUUACAAAACUUCUUGCAGUCCUACUAGCAUAAUCUGUUUGUUACAAUUGCUUUUCAAAUAAUUCAAAUAUUUACUCCAGUCCUCUGAGAAUCUCUGGUCCCGCAGGUUUCGGAUACUUCCUGUCAUCAUAUCUAAUUCUGCAUUAAUUUCGUCUGACUUUCUUCUUUCGUCAGUAAUUCUUCUUGUUUCCAUUUCUGUGCCAGUAAUAUUCUUGCUGCCGUUAUUGCAUGUAAAACAAUUUACUAUCCUGUUUGUUAAUAUCCUCCCCUACAAUGCCAAGUAAAAAUGCUUCUGGUUUUUUUAUAAAUGUAUAUUUCAACAUCUUUUUCAUCUCAUUAUAUAUCAUUUCCCAGCUUUUCACUUUCUUGCAUUCCCACCACAUGUGAUAAAAAGAUCCUUCUUUUUCUUUACAUUUCCAACAUUUGUUACUUAUUUUAGCUAAUUUCACUGGUGUAAUAUACCAUCUAUACAUCAUUUUCAUCACAUUUUCUUUCAAAGUAUUGCAUACUGUAAAUUUUUAUCCUUCCUUCCACAGUUUUUCCCACUCUUUUAGCUGUAUAUUAUACCCAAAAUCCUUGGCCCAAUGUAUCAUAACCGACUUUAUCUCUUCAUCUUUCAAAUGCCAUUCCUGCAGCAAUUUAUACAUUUUAGACAAUAUUUUACAAUCAUUAUUCAAAAGAUUUUGAUUUUGGGGGAUAUGAAGGCGAUAAACAAGCGGCAGAGGAAAUCCUGGGCUAGUCUAUACAAAAUGACCUGGCCAAGCUCAAGGCCAUGAAGAAAGCAUACAGGGCCAUCAGGAGCCAUUCACAAUGCAAGUUGAACUGUCCUUCCCCCAUCCUCUGAAGUGUGAAGAGAGACUGGAGAUUGGGAAGGUUGCCAGGGUAGCUGAGUGUGAUGUCACAGGAAGCGCUUUGGGCCCUUGACAUCAAAAAAGGCCGGAUCUGUCUUGGGCAGGCUGGCUAAAGGUAGGCUGGGAGAGAUGCCUUGGACUCCAGUGAUGCACUGCUGUGGGGAACCAGCCCCUAUUGACAUGACCAUGCUGCAAGAUUUGUAUUCUCUCCAUGCAAACUGAAGGUAUAAAUCAUAUUUCUUAAAGCUGCGACAGCCUCCUCCGUGUCUAAAUUCUCCAAAGAUCCCUGGAAUCCUGUGCACGAGUCAGCAGGGAUUGGGGGAGGGGGAGGCUGUAACAAAAAUACUUCUUAUAUCAUACCCUCCAACCUUUCUGUGAUGAAAAUAGGGAAGGCCUAUUUAAUAAUAAUAAUAAUAAUAAUAAUAAUAAUAAUAAUAAUAAUGUUAUUAUUUAUAUCCCACCCAUUUGACUGGGUUCCCCCAGUCACUCUGGGCAACUUCCAACGUAUAUAAAAACAUAAUAAAACAUUAAACAUUAAAAAAAACUUCUCUAUACACGGCUGCCUUCAGAUGUCUUCUAAAGGUUGUAUAGUUACUCAUCUCCUGGGCUCUGAGGUCAUAUAACUCCAUACUGUACAAUUUCUCUGAUGUAAAUAGGGAUGCCCUACCACACCCUCCAACAUUUCUGCGAUGAAAAUAGGGACAUCCUAAGGAAAAGUGGGACAUUCGGGAUCAAGUCAGAAACCGGGACGGCUUCUGUAAAACCGGGACUGUCCCUGGAAAACAGGGACACUUGGAGAGUCUGCUAUGCCAUGUUUUAAGAUCUGCAAGGGAUCUGUGGUUCACUUUUCAACAACAUGGAAGACAGAUCUUUCAGUCUUAGGGCAGCUCGGAUGUGGAACGCCCUCCCAUCAGAUUUAGGAUUGUCCUCUGCACUGACAGUGUGACAGCAGCAACUUAAGACACAACCUUUUCAGUGGGUUUAUUGGGGUGAUUGAGUUGAAGAAAGAACUGCAGUCCUUGCUACUGAAUUGCUUUCUUUCAUUACAGGGGUCUCUAUGUUUGGACAUGUAUUUUACUGGAAUGCUUUUUUUUCCCAAUCCUCUGCAUGUUUUAUUUUAAUUAAAUGCUGUGUACCACUCUGGGAACUUCUAGGUUAAAGGGUAUAAGAAAAUGAAAUGAAAGGAAAUAAAGUAAAAUAAAAUAAAAUAAAAUAAAAUAAGGGAUGGGCACACUUCAUUUGGGAGAAUCAAACUUAAAAGUGUAUUAUCUUUUCCAACAUUACAAACAUAUUCCAACAAAAAAGUCUAAAGAAAAUUAGUAAAGCCUGUCUUAGUAGAAGUCUGCUUAGUAAAGUCUAUCUUUUCCCUUUUAACAUUUUCAAUAUUUGCCUCUAGACAUUUUAAUCUUAAAUGUCAUUCUAAAGUGCACUUCUCCACCGAAAGGUCCAAUCACAUGGCAGAUAUUUAAUUAUCUAAAUCAAGUACCCUCCAAGAAAUGAAUGUUGGGGUUUAUUUCUUGAAGACUCUUACUCAGCUUGUAUUUUCUCCUGCUUAAUUGAAACUAAUUUUCCUGUUGUUACAGAAAACACCUGGAAUGGGAAUGAUAUUUCCAAGAGGUAAUUAUGAAAUCAAAGUGAUACUUAUUUGCUUAAUUGCUAAAUCUACAUAAACUGAGGAAUCUCAGUAAUGCUCACAGAUUCUCCCGCAAUAAAAAAUGCAUAAUUUUCUUCUUGUCCUGCUUACCUUGUUCCAAACAAAAGCCCUUUUGAUGAUGUCAACAGACAAAACUGCUUUUGAUUGAACUUUUUAUCUCUAAACUGACAAUGAUUCCUGUGAUUCUGGGGUAGUUUAAACCAUAUCUUCAGCUGCCUUUGGUGUAAGUAUAUUUGGAGCUUGAGGGGUGGUUCAGGAUCCUGGCUGAGUUUUAAUUGGGGUAUAACAAAGUCUCUCUUGCACAAACACAUGCAUGCGAAUGCCAACACUUAGCUGAGGAGCAGUCAACUAAACUAAGUAUUAAACUUCAACAUCAACUUCAUUGGACUGGCCAUGUUGUGCACAUGUCUGAUUAUCAUCUUCCAAAACAACUACUGUAUUCUGAACUUCAAAAUGGAAAGCGUCAUGCUGGUGGUCAGCAAAAGAGGUUUAAAGACUCUCUCAAGGCAAAUCUAAAUAAAUCUAGUAUAAACACCGACAACUGGGAAACACUGGCCUGCGAGCACUCCAUUUGGAGAACAGACUUUACCAUAGGCGUCAUGAGCUUUGAAGAUACC
rnacentral:lncRNA from 1 species